UGUUCUCCAGGUGAGCGCCUGAUUGCCAAAACUUGAACUUUAUUCCCUUGUUCUCCAGGUGGGCGCCUGAUUGCCAAAACUUGAACUAUAUUCCUUUGUUCUCUAGGUGGACCAGGUGGGUGCAUGAUUGCCAAAACAUGAACUGUAUUUCCUUGUUCUUUAGGUGGGCACCUGAUUGCCAAAAACUUGAACUGUAUUCCCCUAUUAUCCAGGUGGGCACCUGAUUGCCAAAAACUUGAAUUGUAUUCCCUUGUUCUCCAUGUGGGUGCCUGAUUGCCAAAACUUGAACUAUAUUUCCCUGUUCUCCAGCUGGGCGCCUGAUUGCCAAAAUUUGAACUGUAUUCACUUGUUCUCCAGGAGGGCACCUGAUUACCAAAACUCUAACUGUAUUCCCUUGUUCUCCAAGUGGGCGCUUGAUUUCCAAAACUUGAACUAUAUUCCCCUAUUCUCCAGCUGGGCACCUGAUUGCCAAAAUUUGAAUUGUAUUCACUUGUUUUUUUGUUGGGCACCUGAUUGCCAAAAUUUGAACUAUGUUCCCUUGCUCUUCAGGUGGGCACUAAUUGUCAAAACAU
rnacentral:lncRNA from 1 species